rnacentral:rRNA from 1 species
ACAGAGGUCUCAAGCGUUGUUCGGAUUCAUUGGGCGUAAAGGGUGUGUAGGUGGCGCGCUAAGUCGGGUGUGAAAUUUCGGAGCUUAACUCCGAAACUGCAUUUGAUACUGGCGUGCUUGAGGACUGGAGAGGAGACUGGAAUUCAUGGUGUAGCAGUGAAAUGCGUAGAGAUCAUGAGGAAGACCAGUGGCGAAGGCGGGUCUCUGGACAGUUCCUGACACUGAGACACGAAGGCCAGGGGAGCAAACGGG